UACGAAGGGGGCUAGCGUUGUUCGGAAUCACUGGGCGUAAGGCGCAUGCAGGCGGAUUGUUAAGUCGGGGGUGAAAUCCCGAGGCUCAACCUCGGAACUGCCUUCGAUACUGGCAAUCUUGAGUCCGGGAGAGGUGAGUGGAACUGCGAGUGUAGAGGUGAAAUUCGUAGAUAUUCGCAAGAACACCAGUGGCGAAGGCGGCUCACUGGCCCGGUACUGACGCUGAGGUGCGAAAGCGUGGGGAGCAAACAGG
rnacentral:rRNA from 1 species